rnacentral:rRNA from 2 species
ACGGGAGGCAGCAGUGGGGAAUUUUGCGCAAUGGGGGAAACCCUGACGCAGCAACGCCGCGUGCGGGAUGACGGCCUUCGGGUUGUAAACCGCUUUCAGUAGGGACGAUUAUGACGGUACCUACAGAAGAAGCUCCGGCUAACUACGUGCCAGCAGCCGCGGUAAUACGUAGGGAGCGAGCGUUAUCCGGAUUCAUUGGGCGUAAAGCGCGCGUAGGCGGUUAUGUAAGCGGAACCUCUAAUCUUAGGGCUCAACCUUAAGCCGGGUUCCGAACUGCAUGACUCGAGUAUGGUAGGGGUAAGUGGAAUUCCCGGUGUAGCGGUGAAAUGCGCAGAUAUCGGGAAGAACACCGAUGGCGAAGGCAGCUUACUGGGCCAUUACUGACGCUGAGGUGCGAAAGCGUGGGGAGCGAACAGGAUUAGAUACCCUGGUA